AUUGAACGCUGGCGGCAGGCCUAACACAUGCAAGUCGAGCGGUAGCACAGGGAGCUUGCUCCUGGGUGACGAGCGGCGGACGGGUGAGUAAUGUCUGGGAAACUGCCUGAUGGAGGGGGAUAACUACUGGAAACGGUAGCUAAUACCGCAUAACGUCGCAAGACCAAAGUGGGGGACCUUCGGGCCUCACACCAUCGGAUGUGCCCAGAUGGGAUUAGCUAGUAGGUGGGGUAAUGGCUCACCUAGGCGACGAUCCCUAGCUGGUCUGAGAGGAUGACCAGCCACACUGGAACUGAGACACGGUCCAGACUCCUACGGGAGGCAGCAGUGGGGAAUAUUGCACAAUGGGCGCAAGCCUGAUGCAGCCAUGCCGCGUGUAUGAAGAAGGCCUUCGGGUUGUAAAGUACUUUCAGCGGGGAGGAAGGCGGUGAAGUUAAUAGCUUCACCGAUUGACGUUACCCGCAGAAGAAGCACCGGCUAACUCCGUGCCAGCCGCCGCCGUAACAC
rnacentral:rRNA from 1 species